ensembl:lncRNA
UCUUAACAAUGAACAGGAAAAAAUUGCAUUGGAAGAAAAACAAGGAUGUUUUUUUGAAAUAGCUGGUAAAACACAAGGAAAUAGACAGUAGUUAAGUCGUUUGUUCAUACCAUGUAGGAGAUCUGUGGAAAAAAGAGCAAGACGUAAUCUUUAGAAGGAGAGUUUAUCUGUGAUCCUAGUCAGAGAAGAUGAAGCUGGACUUUCCUGUUCAGAGUACUCCUAGACAUCACCAGAAGUGUCAGGUCCUACACUAGAAAAGCUAAAAUGAGGGGAUAUCAAAUAAUAUGUGCAAAAAAGAAGUAGAGAGGAUGUCCAACUAAUUAGGAUUGAGUUUGUGGCAAGCUGUUCUAACCGAAUGAACAAACAUUCAUCAGAUAACCCCUUUCUCCUGUCCUUGAUACUUUUGCCAUUCUAUAACUUUGGA